rnacentral:rRNA from 1 species
GAGUACAAGGGAUAACCACCCACUUGUUAGGUUGUGAACCACUUAAGACGAAGUGUUACUAUCCUUCUCGGCUGUAGCUUCCUAGUUUUUCGUUGCAGCGAUACUUGCGAACCGACGGUGUUCGGUCAAUAGGGACACCAUUGAAAAGACUGUGGAGAUCGAAGUUUGAGGCUUCUAGAUUUCCUAGCUAUCCGGUGCGAAAGUGCCAAGCAUAAGCAUGACCUUUAGUCUUAGUUUGCUCGAAAAUGGGAAAACAAGGUGUGCUCUAAAGACAAGAGCAACUCGAGUAGAAUCCUGUGGACGCAAUAGAAAAUUGUCUACACGGCGGGGUCGGUUUGAGGGGUGGACUGUUACAGAAGGCGGGCCUAGCCGGGCCAUUCUGGCCCGGAACCUCGGUUUUCCUCCCCUGUACGGGGCGAAGGCUGGGUGCCUUAUUCAUUUUAUUGCAAUUUUCAUCACCAUAAAGUGAACGCGGGCACUCCCGAGGGUGAAUAGGAUGUGGAGAGUUCAGUAAAGUGUUUCAGCCUGAUCUCAGUUCGAGUUGUCCCAGAAGAAAGGGGCGACUAAGGCGGUUCGGGCAAGGGAACCGACACCAAAGCGACCCAUCAUCUGUCCCUGUCACCCUUAGAGCAAUUAGGUAAGUACGCGCAGUGAUUAAUCUACUGCUCCGUAAACCGAUGGAAUUCUCUCAGUAUCAAUGAGGGCGGCAAAUGGGCGCGAACCAACUUAAAGAAGUGAAACUGUAAGUCUCGUGACCCGUCUUUAGUGUAACGCAGUCGUAGGCGCUCCUGGUAGCGUUACGAAACAAAAUUAAUUUGUCAGCCUAAGGGGAACAGGCAUGGUCAAGACUCAGCUGACAAAGUACGAGCCCCUUUCGGGGGCUUCCCCGCUAAGGGCCAGGCAGGGGGCCGGCCGUGCGCCGCUGGGCGAGAGCGGCGCACUCGUCGAGCUCGUUAGGCGGCUGUCGGCUGCCCAAGCCCCGGCCCUGGGGGCUCGGGUCAGGAGUCUCGGUUAGGAAAAGGGCUUCAAUGCCUAGGCAAAACGGCUGAAGGGAACGGAUGGAACAAGGUAACCGGUCUCCGACAAGUGGAACCUCUGGACUACGCCAAUACUCAUGCUGGCCCGCACUUGCCAUGAGCCAGGAGGCCUAAAAGUACCCGGCGGCCCCCGCGUGGCCUGUGGCGCGCUGCACGCCACGAGAAGGCCGGUGACCUGGGAUGGAGGCCGACUUGGCAAAGGUCCCAACCGUCCGGCAAUUCGUCUUUUCUAUUGAGAAGGGCUCCGGGGGCGGCCGCAGAGGCCUGAAGGAUUGCAGCGACAGUUGGCGGUGUAGGGCCGAGCCCUUUAGAAUUGGGCUAAGGGAAAGCCCCCUACGCGCACUAGCGCGAUAGACGGCCCCAAUGGGGCAGGGAAUCCUAGCCGAAUGGGUACACGUUCACGGCAAGUGUACCUUGGAAAGAGGAGAAGCCGGAAGUUUCAAGAGUAAACUUAUAAACGAUGAUGGUGGUUCUAGACGUGGCUGCCGGCGAGGCGGGCCCGAGCGCGGGGCCCAAAACGUCGCCGGCGGCGCGGGAGGAUGAGUAGCCCCGUACCGCGAGCGGGUCUACCGGCCCACACCCAGCGCGCGAAGUCGCGGUAGGUAAAAGCCCCGAUCAACUAAGCCGUCCACUCAACAAUGUGUGAGGAAUCGCCUAAAGCUGAAGGUACUGGUGGCAGGACGACAGAAUUAGCUGGUUGUGGGAAACACCCAAGAUCCAAUCGCGCGUCAACCCGUGGCAUUGGGCCGAAGGCCAAGUAGGGCGUAGCGGUCAAGACGAAUGGUUUUUACCGGGUGAACCUCGUGGGCUAAGGUACCGUGCCGAGUGGCUUCGUCGGCGCGGUAGGAUGGAUAAAUUUCAAACUCUUAUCCAGCUCCUGCAACGCACGGGUUACGGAGAUUAGUAACCGAAAUGGACUAUCUUGAGCAUUACCCGAGGUCGAUAGGACUCCCUUUGAAGCCUCCCUUGGUCGAUGAUCUACCAAGCUAAUCAGAAAGCGGGGAUAUGGGUUCAGUCUGCUUGCUAAACGUGCAGUCAUAGCGAAGCUCGGAGGUGGUCUCAAAGGAGACCGAAGCGGGGCGAGUCCGUAUCAAGUGGUAGAAAGCCCAGGGCUGUCCGCACGAGGUUGAGCUUGGGAAGUGUCUUCUAGUCCCAGCCGGUCGCCACGCCGGGCACUCCCGGAGGGCGAGCAGUCGAAGGAACGCGUAGGGUCCAAAGUCUUGGGCAGCUGAGCGUGCGUACAGUCUGAGGAACCAGGCACAAAGU